AUGAUAUUAGUAUAAUAAGUACGUAUUCCUUCCAAGAAUAAAGUUUAAUUAAUAUCAUA
rnacentral:tRNA from 1 species